rnacentral:rRNA from 1 species
AAAGGGGGCAACCCCGAGUAGAGUGGCGAACGGGUGAGCAAUACAUCGGAACGUGUCCUGUAGCGGGGGACAACCUCGAGAAAUCGAGGCUAAUACCGCAUACGAUCUACGGAUGAAAGUGGGGGACCGCAAGGCCCCACACUAUAGGAGCGGCCGAUGCCGGAUUAGCUAGUUGGUGGGGUAAUGGCCUACCAAGGCGACGAUCCGUAGCUGGUUUGAGAGAACGACCAGCCACACUGGGACUGAGACACGGCCCAGACUCUUACGGGAGGCAGCAGUGGGGAAUUUUGGACAAUGGGCGAAAGCCUGAUCCAGCCAUGCCGCGUGAGUGAAGAAGGCCUUCGGGUUGUAAAGCUCUUUCGGCGGGGACGAAAUUGCGCGGGGUAACAUCCCGCGUAGAUGACGGUACCCGAAGAAGAAGGACCGGCUAACUACGUGCCAGCAGCCGCGGUAAUACGUAGGGUCCAAGCGUUAAUCGGAAUUACUGGGCGUAAAGCGUGUGCAGGCGGUUUCGAAAGUCCGAUGUGAAAUCCCCGAGCUUAACUUGGGAACUGCGUUGGAAACUACGAGGCUAGAGUGCGGCAGAGGGGGGUGGAAUUCCAGGUGUAGCAGUGAAAUGCGUAGAGAUCUGGAGGAACACCGAUGGCGAAGGCAGCCCCCUGGGUUAGCACUGACGCUGAGACACGAAAGCGUGGGGAGCAAACAGGAUUAGAUACCCUGGUAGUCCACGCCCUAAACGAUGGCAACUAGUUGUUGGAGGAUGAACUCCUUUAGUAACGCAGCUAACGCGUGAAGUUGCCCGCCUGGGGAGUACGGUCGCAAGAUUAAAACUC